CGGAGGAAAGCACACCAGCUGUGCCAUGUAAACUUGUUAAAACCCUAUUAUGCACGUUCCUCUGAGAAUGAACAGUGGGAGUCUACAGAGGAUGUUAAACCUGUUCUUUUGGCUGAUACCGUUGUUUCCUUGGGUUUUUGUCAUGCUAGAUCUGUGCAUGAGGAGGAAGAUGUGCCUGGUCCUGACGAUUGUAUAUUGCAGGGUAAAAUCAGUUUUCAAAUGGGAAACUGCUGGCUUUGGGUGAUUGGAGUGUUCAGAAUGUUCCCUCACCUUGAAGAAGUCAAAGAAUCCAACAAGAUUUGCUUUCCCCAGAUCCUUCUCCCUUUCCCUGAAAAAGAACCAGCCAGUGAUCCCGGCGUCUAGCAGCUCUGGGUUUUUCUUGGACAGAGUGACUAGGUGAAGGCGCUCUUCACGACUGUCCCGGCCACGGAAGAAGGCCUGUUCCGUUUUGUUGGCCCAAGGGGGACCUAGACACCAAGGAAACAGAAUAAGGUUAUUGUGAGUAAUGAGGUGUAAGUAAGCAGAAUGAGGUUAAGGGAUAGUGUAUGAGGUUAUACAUCUUACCUGUGUUGCCUUGGACUGACAGUAGGUCAUUGGAAACGCCCCUCAUGGUCUCCAGGGUUGAGUGAGUGAUGUCGUAGGUGGGCAGGAUGAUGUCUCGGGUGUCUGUGGAGCCACACCAGGAGAUGAUUGGAACAGGCCCAGGAUCGUCAUCUGCUUUCCUUGUUUCCAUUGGCCAGUCUCCCACAUUGAUGUAAAAUUCCACAUCAGGCAACCUCACCUUUCAAUUCAAAUUCAGAGACAAAGACAGGGGAGCUCAGUUUAUGCAGAACAAUGAACUAAACAAUUAUAUUGAAAAUACGGUAUUAGGAGAGUUUCAGGCAAGGGACAAAGUAUCACAAAACAGUUCAGAAAGGAACAUGAUCAUACUUCUUGAUGAAAGGACAGAGACCUGCACACAAAACCCCCCACAAAGCAACUCUUUACCUUCCUGGCUAGGGAUAGUAACAUCUCAUCAGAGAACAUCUUGAAGUCAGUGUAUUUUCCCAGCGAGCGACGGUACACCUGGUUGUUGAUGACAGCAUAGUGAAUGAGACCUCCUCUGUUGGAGAACCGGCGGGGAACUUCCUGUAGGAGGCGCUGCAGGUCAAUGGAGGGGAAGGCAUUGAAGUCCCUCUGGAUCUGGGGUUCCUCAGCAGGACACUGCAUAAUGCUCUGCCAGGUGGGAACAUCAUGCUCUGGGCAGUCACAGUACUCAUGAUAGACUGGUCCUGAGUAUAUACAACCAAAGGGAUGCAUCAUGUGGAAGCAGUGAGAAUAGAUAAAAUUUACAACAUACUGCCAUCUACUCAAGUGUUUCCCAGCUCCAGUCCCCCCAACAGUACAUAUUUUUGUUAUGGCCCUGGACAAGCACACCUGAUUCUACUUGUCAACUAAUCAUCAAGCCCUUGACAAGUUAAAUUAGGUAUUUUUGUCUGGGGCUACAAUAAAAAUGUGUGCUGUUGGGGGUAUUGGAGGAUACACUGAUCUAGCCUAUAUUAUUCAUACAGGCGUACUCUGAUGAGGAGUUCACUUGUAAUUUCUGUCAAAUGAUCACAUUAAUCUGCUUUCAUUGAAAUAAUCUGUGAAAGUUAGCCAUUGACUGAUAUAGGUACCUUGUAGGGUGUAAGGUGACUUUGCAACGUGACUGUCUCUGUAGAGUACUUCGACCUUCAGUCCCUUGAGGAUACUGCCAUACAGACGGUACCUCAUCAGAAAAGAACCAUCUCCUCUGUCCAGGGGGAGGGGGACGUGGAUGCGGACAUGCUCCUUCUGUGAGAGUGAGACAAUCUUCACUCUGAAUGAGUCUUUACCUACAUGUAAAGAGAAAUAAAAUGAGUUAGAUGGAUCACCUCUAUAAUGGAAACAAUAAUGUAACCAUAGGGUCAAUUGGAGAUGGAGUAAUUUUCAGUCUGCAAAGACUAAGCUAACUAGGGGAAUAAAAGGGUCCCCAAUCAUG